ACACACACACACACACACACACACACACACACACACACACAGCUGUGGCCAGUGUCUCUUCCACCCAGCUCUCUCCUCAAGGGAAGUGCUGCUGAGCUCAGACGCCCAGCCUGGAUGUGAACACCUUUUCCAGUCUCCUAAUUACCCACUCGCUCACUGAGAGAGCACUCACACACACACACACACACACACACACACACACACACACACACACUCUGAAAACAUAUGCAGAAAGUCCCUGCCCCACCCACAGCCUCUCUCACACACACACACUCAUUCAGUCAGUGAGGGAGAAGCUCCACUCCACUCCUCACACACACCCUCAGUCACACACACACACACACACUGCUCCUGCUGCCGCUGCCAUGAAGCCCACUGGAAUAGUUCUGCUGGUCGUGUCCAUCACACUCCUCCAUAAAGGGCACUCCGAAGAGCUGUCUGCUCUCGCAGGUGACUCUCUACAAGCAAAUCUAACCAACCCAGCCGGUGAGUCUGAUACAGCAAAUCCAACGCCACAAGCCGCAGGCGAGGUCACUUCUCCUCAUCCACAGACCGAAAAGCCCGUGACUGCCAGUCUAACGACAAAAAGUCCUGAUCCGAACAAUGACUCCAAACAGACUUCCCAGAGCCCUACCACCAAGUCCCCUGCAGACCCCAAUAAAGAUGCAGAAGGUGAUGCCAAAGACCAAGAGACAGAAGCACCAACAGUACACACAACACAAACCGCUUCUCAUACAGAGGCCCCGGCUGUGGUUCCAGAUCCCGCAUCAGGUGGGAAUAGUACCGGCACUGAUAAGGGACACUCUGAGCAAGGAACUGAAGUGAAGCCAGCAGUCAAUGAGACAAAUGAAUUGCCAUCUGAUACAGGAUCUGGAACAAACAAUCAGCAGAGUGGCCAAAAUGCAGAAGGUGAUGCCAAAGACCAAGAGACAGACCGGAGAAUCCUGUGGAUUUUGUUGCCUGUUUUGGGUGUGUUGGUGGCAGGUGUGAUCUUUGUCCUCAAGUUCAAAUGCAUGAAAGUGCAUGAUCAUGCAGAACCUACUGAGAAUGGCACAGAGAACGCCUCCUUCCAAAGGUCUGACAGCAACAAAGAUGGCGUCAUGCUCCUGGGUGUGAAGACUUCUGGCGGAGAGGAAAACGCAGCGGCGAGAUAAGAUGGACGGCAGCCGAAAAGGACAGUCACUCAAGAAAGCAAGAGACACUUCUACACCCUCACCGCCACUGGAGAUCCUCCUGAUCGCCAUCAAUGGAUUCCACUUCACAGAUAUCACCAAAGAGCACUGAAGUGGGUUAGACUACAAACAUCCAAUGUGACGUAUGGUAUUUUCCUGUACAUUAAGCCAGAGAACUAAAAUAUAUAUAUAUACAUAUAUAAUACUGAAGUAAUGAAACAUGCAAGCGUGCAUAUAGACUGACAUAAUUAUAUGUCUGAUGGCUGAAAUUUCAUGUCAAUUUGAGACCAAUUGCCAUUGUUUAACACUAAAAACCAAUUGUCUUGUGGCAAUGUUUAACACUGAAACCAGUUGUGAACACUGAAGACCGUCUGGCAAAUGAGUGAAUGAUAUGAUAUUUCAGCCCCUGACGCCGUUGACAAAAUGGAUCACUGCCAUUGCUUCUCUCUCUCUCUCGAUAUAAUGGAUGAUAUUUGGGCUGAAGCAUCAGUCUCCUCUGCUUGUUCGUGUUUGCACUGAUAGCCUAGAUAAUGUCAGUUAAUUACUGUGUGAGAUGCCUUGGAUUCAGUGGAUAAGCUCAAGUGAAUUCACUGAUGUAAAUUGGAUAGUGUAUUAACACCUAAGAAAAUAAAGCGAGCUUGUGCGUUCAAGGUUCUGAAUAUUACGACUCACUGUUUUGGUAAUAGCUUCGAAGGCUUGAGUGAAUUUUUUCCAUAUUUUUGUAUCACAAAACAUAUUACUUUAACAACUAUGCAAACGCUUCUUUUAGAUUUAUAUUGAUAUUGGUCUUACACUGAAUAAAUCAUCAGGCCACAGUUAUUUGAUCAUCUCUCCAUGUUUUGCAUAAGCUGUCAAUCUAAGUCUCUUCUUUUUCCAUUUUUUUUUUUACCCUUUCUGUUUCGAUUGUAUUAAACUUGUAUGGGUUUCUAAUCUGUCAUGGACACGGAGUUCCCUGUUUUCUCUGCUGUAUAUUUGACUGCUCUCAGUAUCUGUGCUACUGGUCUUACUAAGUUAUAAAUGAAUAGAAAAAUGAAGGAUAUUCAAGCUUGCAGCAUGCAUUCAUAUGUGAAUCCAGCGGAAAAAGAUUGCUGAUCGUGUUUUGUGUGUUUGUUUGUUUGUUUGUUUGCUUGUUUUUCUGUUGUUUCUGUGCUGUUUUUCCACGUGGAUCUGUGUCGUUAGAGAGGGCCCACGCUUCACAACCUUGGCUUCCCAUAUUCUGUAUGCGAAACAUGAAUCUGAGAUGAAGCAAUCAGUUCUGCCACAACAUUUGAACACACCUGCUGCCUCUGUUAAAUGUUAUCCACAUGAGCAGUUUGUUUGUCUGUGUCUUUCUUGUGUUUCUCUCUCCAUUAAAAUACCUUCCUCCCCGAGGACCAAAAAAGCAAAUCUCUUUGGCAUUUAAUAAAAGCCCCGCAUUAAUCCUGUGACAUCCUCAACACCUCAGCGUCUGACGCUAAUAGCCCUCAGCUCACACGGCCUGGCCAGCUCCCGCACACAGAAACAGACUGCUGCUAUGAAUAUAGCUAUCACAGCCUCGCCAUCAAGCGUACAAUAAUAACAGCAUUGUUGCUAGGCGCUCAUCUGCACGGCUGCCCCUAGUCACUGUGGGUGACACAGAUUGUCAUCAUGGCUAGCAUGUAGCAUAUAGCAUGUAGCAGGAACAUAAUGAUGCACUCUGCUUGGCGGACAUCAUUAUUAUUACGCAUUAGAGGAGAUUUAUUUGAGGUUAAUGUUGGUUUUACCCAAUAAACGUUGCACUCGGUCAAAGUACGUGUGAGUGAGUCUCUUCCUCUCUUGUUCAACUGAUAUUAUUCAGCCUACGUCAGUAUGAGGGUACUUUAUUGGGGUGUAAGAUCAUCGGCAAUUCCACGGAUGAAUUCCAAGUGAAUUCUGGCUUAGGGUUAAUCCAAAUCAUGCUCUUCAGUGAAAAGGUUUCCUGC
ensembl:lncRNA